AGUAAUGUAUAUUUGCACGUAACCUAUACACAUCCUCUCAUAUAUUUUAAAUAAUCUCUAGGUUACUUAUAAUACCUAAUACAAUGUGAAUGCUAUGUAAAUAGUUGUUACACAUUUUUUUGGUAUCUUUUUUGUAAUUGUUGUACUGUUAUUUUGGCUUAUUUGGUUUGGGGGGUUUUUUUGGUUGGCUGUUUUUUUUUUUUUUAAUAUUUCUUUUAGAGAUGGGGUCUUGCUAUGUUGCCCAGGCUGAACUUGAACUCCUGGGCUCAAGUGACCAUCCUGCCUCAGUCUCCCAAGCAGCCAGGAUUACAGGUGUGAGCCACCACACCCAGCUGUGUUCUUAUUUUUUACUGUUUUGCUUUGUUUUGUUUUUGGUAAAUAUUUUCUAUCUGUAGUUGAUCAAAUUCAUGGAUUUGAAACCCAUGGACAUGAAGAGCUAAAUAUACUUAGAAUUAAACUUUCAAAAAUUCCACAUCUCUGUGAAGAAAGCUCUAAGAGGUUCCUGAAGACCAUGAAGAAGCCUUGACCCAAUGAGAGGCUCUGCUCAUGGAUUCAGCUCGACACCAUAAAGACAAUGGGAUCCCCAGGAACCCACCUCCUGGUGUUCACUCCUGGUCUCUCCCACACUGACCUGGCCUGACCGGUGUGACCACCAUAUGUGAGAAUGACCGUAGGUGACUUCCAAGACUCAGCUACAAAAGAUACUACAGUGUCUAUCCUGCUCCCUCAUGGAUAUUUGCUCUCGGACACCAGCCCCAGGUCAGGAGGACACUCAGCCUGCCCUCAGCAUGCAACCAGAGCCCAUCAGCUGGCAGAAUGAACCAGCCUGGAAUGGCAUCCUCCAGCCUGCUACAUCAAGCCUUCUGAAAACCAUCUUCACAGGAGACCUGUGCCACAACCACCCAGCAAGGCUGCUCCCAAACUCUGCCCCACAGAGUAUACAGCGCUAAUUUAAUAGGAUAUCUAGUAAGUCAAGAAUGCGCACCAUAAUCAGAUAGCCCCUACAACAAGAAUACAGAAAGCUAACAGAGAAGAGGAAAUGAAAUAAUUUGUAAAUACUUGCCUGAUGCUUUAACCAUAAAGAGAUUGACUAAAGAACAGGUGAGAAAAUACAAGAUAAAUUUUAAAAUUAGGAUAGAUCUAGGCCCAAUUAUUAAUAGAACAGGCUUAAAUUUAAUACAAAUGUACUAAACACUCCAAUUUAGAGACAUAGGGACAUUAGAAUAAACUGUAGGGCAGAGAAGACCAACUAUAUGCUGUUUACAAGAGACAUGCUUUACAAAAGAACACAGAUCAGAAGUUAACAGAAACUCUCUCUAGAGGAAACUCCUUCACUGUCAGGCCUAAAGUAACUUCCACAAUGAAGUUCCAAUAUGUGGGCGGCAAGCCAUCCAGGUGCCGAGGCAAGAGACCGAGGGCACGAGCUGUUCCAGUGUAAUAAAA
rnacentral:lncRNA from 1 species